GUCAUCGGCGCGCGCCAGUCCUGCGGGAACUUCACGGGGGCGGUAGGCUCAGGUGGCGCGUGACCCUGGGACCGCUCUGCCGCGCGCGGCCAAGGGACUGAUCUUUGAAUGGGAAGCUUCAAACUUUAAAGAAGAAGCCUUCAGAAUGGCUUUGAAGAAGACAAGCUAGACACUGCUUCAGGGCACCGCCUUCAGAAUGCAUCUCGCCUGUCCAGGGGCGUGCCUGGUGAGGAGCUCUUUGAAGGGUUCGUUCCGCAGAGGGCCAGAGAGCUGAUGCUCAUGGAACCAGAUUGGUGGCUUUGACUUUCUGGAACAAUCUUGCUUUUAUUCUAUUCUUUCUGAGAGGCUGGAGGUACUGAUGGGACCGAAGGGCCUCCAGGGAAGGGAAGCAGCACUUUCAUGCUGAAUGAAAACUAGAUAAGUCACUGCUGGCGACUGAAGACACCUAAACGCCCCACAUCCGGAUUCAGCAGACUGGGGACCCGGAGGAAUUGCCACUGCUGGGGAGAAUAAAGCCAGACUGGAAAAGAAAACCCAAAUGAAGAGAAUGAGGGCCGUCGGAGAGUAAAUGGCGGCCUCCACCUCCACAGAGAGCAAGUUGGCCUCCUGGUGGAACUAUUUUUUCCUCUAUGAUGGUUCCCAGGUGAAGGGAGAAGGAGAUCCAACCAGAGCUGGCAUCUGUUACUUUUACCCCCCGCAGACCCUGCUGGACCAACAGGAGCUGCUGUGUGGACAGAUCGCCGGGGUUGUCCACUGCGUUUCCCACAUUUCCGGCGCUCCUCCCACCCUUGUCCGCCUGCGGAAACUGAAGUUCGCUGUAGAGGUUGACGGUGAUUACCUCUGGGUGCUGGGCUGUGCCGUGGAGCUCCCCGACGUCAGCUGCAAGCAGCUUCUGCACCGGCUCAUUGGCUUCUUUCGUUUUCACAAUGGGCCCGUGUCUCUGGCCUGCAAGAGCUGCCCGCGGGAAGAACUGCGUGCCGAGUGGGACACGCUCAUUGAGCACAUCCUGGGGAACACGGGUGACCUGCACAAGAUCUUCAACUGCCUCUGGCACCUGGAUCGAACCAAAGUGGAGCCCCUGCUCCUGCUCAAGGCGGCCCUCAUCCUGCAGACCUGCCAGCGCGCGCCCCAUGUGCUCGCCGGCUGCAUCCUCUACGCGGGACUGAUCGUCAGCACCCAGCUCCCGCCCUCCGUCACGGCCAAGGUCCUGCUUCAUCGCGUGGCACGUCAGGACCAGAGGAAACCUACGGGAGGGGACGCCCUGCAGGAAUGUGGAGCUGCGCUCCCUCCCAACGUUCAGAUCAUGCCUGUUUUCCUGACUGAAGAGGAAGCCGCCAGUCUCCGCGAGUUUCCCCGGGAGCCCCCGGCCAGCGCUCCGGUGCCUCCAGCCAGACUCCAGGAGCCUUCAGCCGCUCCGAAAGAAAACGCCCCCGGACACGUGGGCUCCAAGGCUCAGACCUCGAUGAUCACACCUGAACCCCCAUCUCCUGAUGCCGCCUGGGCAGAUGGCAGCGGGGAGAACGGACACUGGCCCGGCCCUGACCUGAAGAUCACGCUGCCUGCAAUGUGGCACUGCACUGCUGAGGACAAGGGUUCGGGUUUGUUUGGGGGGAACGGGGACCUGGACUUGUCUGAAAUCCAUAUCCCAGAGGCUCAGAAAACAGAAGCAUCCCCGGGCCAUCCUGCUGCAGAUGGCGGGGGUCCUGGUUGUGAGCAAUCUGUCCACAACCCCGGCAGUCCCGGAGCCAAGCCGCACGGGGCCCUGCCCCUGGGCCGCCUCCCCGCCUCUGCUCCUGAGGUGGUCCCCCAGAAUGGAGCCCUCGAGCAGCCCGCAGACCUUGCUGGCAAUGGUGGCCAAGCCCCCGUCACCAGGGAAGACCACGUCCCCGGCAGGACGAGCGGGCCUGGGCGGGCACCUUGCUUGGAUUUGAGGCAGAGGGGCACUGAACUGCCCCUGGAGGAACACGGUGGAGAGCAACACCGCAGUGGGGCUCCCGAGUGCUUCUUGACCCCCGGCCCGGACUCCACAGACCCCUCAGACGAAGGCCCCUCUGCAGACAGAACCGCGUCCAGGGUGAGCCUGGCCUCCUGCGAGGGGCUCGUGCGGAUGAACCUCUACACGCACAGCGUCAAGGGCCUGGUGCUGUCGCUGCUGGCCGAGGAGCCGCUGCUGGGGGACCGCGCAGCCGUGGACGAGGUGUACCACGGCAGCCUGGCGUCCCUCAACGGGCUGGAGGUGCACUUGAGCGAGACGCUGCCCCGGGACCAAGCAGCCCCUGCGGCCAGAACCUACAGCUUCGCACACUACGACCGCGUCCAGAACUUGCUAGCAGCCAACCUGCCGCAGGUGACCACGGCGCAGGACCACCGCUUCCUCCAGGCUGUCAGCCUGAUGCAUUCCGACUUCUCCUGGCUGCCCACGCUGUACGAGGUGACCGUCAGGAACGCCUCCACGGCUGUAUACGCCUGCUGCAACCCUGUUCAGGAAACCUACUUCCAGCAGCUGGCCACAGCGGCGCGGAGCUCUGGCUUCCCGAACCCGCAGGACGGUGCCUUCGGCCUCCCAGGCAAAGCCAAACAGAAGCUGCUGAAGCACGGGGUGAACCUGCUCUGAACCGUGGGUCGCUCCUGACCCUCGCGGUGACUCUCAAAUCAAACCCCAGCAGAGGAAGUGCCGUCUUGUUAAGUGGAAAGCACCUCUGUUUUACUUUCCCUGGAAUAGUCCUCUUUUUGGGGACUGCAGUUUUUGAGUGUUUGUUACUCCUUCUGUGGAUCAGGGCUGGAGGGGGUUGUUCCUCGGGUUGGCAGACCUAGAGCUUGUGGUAAAGAACUUGACAGCGUGGGUGGUGCGGGGGCCAGGGUGGGACCACGGCUCUUUCCACCCCAGGGGCCCGGGUCAGUGACUCCCCCAUUACACAGAGGCCAGGGCGCCCGACGUUUCCUGGGGCUGCUCCACCCCAGCCUUGACUCGUACACGGAGACUGAGGCUGGUGUCCUUCUAGAACCCCACUGUCCCUGGUCUAGAGUGCAUGUCCCUUGCUGUCUGCAGGGGGUGGGUCCGAGGUGACUGCAGAGCCAGGAGACAGGUCUGUCUGUCUGCAAGCACACCGUGCACCCACUUCUCAGGCUGUCUUCACCACGGUCCUCCUGGGGGAUCGGUGCACAGGAAGCGGUCGGGGAUGCUGAGACUGCCUUGUCUGGAUCUUCUGGAUCACCCACGGUGGGGAAGGGGCGAUCUCAAUGACACGAAAGGAGCCUGGGGCACCGGGACCCGGAGGGCUGCUAUUGGGCUGAAAACACGUAAAACGCAGAAUCCUGGUUCCUAGAGUCUGCGGUCAAGGCAGCCCAGUGCCUCCCUCUGAGCGGAGUCUCCACGUCACAGGAAGAGCGUGAGGUCUGCAGAGCAAAGUGUGGGAGUAAGCCAACAGGGACUCGCCUGGUGGUCCAGUGGGUUAAGAAUCCGCCUUGCAGUGAGGGGUAUGCAGGUUUGAUCCCUGGUCGGGGAGCUAAGACUCCACACGCCGCAGAGUAACUGAGCCCGUGCGGCACAUGACGCCUGAGCCUGCAAGCCACAGCGCAAGUCCGCACACAACCAGAGACCUCGCAGGCCACAACUAAGACCUGACGCAGCCAAGUAAGUAUUUUAGAAAGUCCGGAAUUUUUCUGCUACAAUUUCAGGACCUGACUCUCGCCCUUGAGUGAGGGCUGGAUGGAGUGCUUCGUUUUUAAUGACCAGAAUGUUGCCAAGAUGCCAGUGUGGCUUCUGAGGGUAGGUCACAAAACAUCGCAGCUGCCACCUCUCUCUUGGUCCACCUAUCGUGGGGAGAUGUCCCGGGGGUGGGGUCUCCUGCCCGUGGCCGUGUGAAGUGAGCCUCUUGGAGACAGGUUGCCCGGCCCCAGUGGCCUUCACCAGACAACGGCAGGUCCUGCCUGUCCUCAUCUGAUUCAGCCCUGAGAAAAACAGCCAGAACCAUCAAGCCAAGCCACUUCAGAAUCUCUAGCCCUCAGGAAGCAUGGGAGAUGAUAAAUGUGUGUCGUUUUAAGCCGCUCUUGGGGUCAUUGAUUACAGCAAUAGAUGGUGUGUAUGCGUGGUGGCCCACAUCUCACCCGCCCACCAGGCUCCUUAGCGGCUUGGGCCCUUAGGCCAAAUGCCGGAUAGUCAGUCCAGAUCCCAGCCGUGCCCUUCCCACCUGGAAGACCUACGCCACACAAGGAGGGGAGAAAUGGAGCACUCCCUCCCCUUCCUGCUCAUUCCUGCUGGAGCAUGCCCGCACCAGGCAAGUUGCCGAGGCGCUGGGCGAAGAAGCCUUGAAACGGCAGUGGCUUGAUUUGCUCCUCGCUGGAAACGUCCCUGGCUCCCGGAUAGGCGAGAAGCACGGCAGGAGUGGAAACCUCCCCCCUCC